UACGGGUGAUGUGGCCCAGCCAAAUCGACAUGUGAAUUUGCCAGCACAGCUCAGAGAAAGCAGUGGCAACCUGGAGAAGCUCAAAGUGGUGUGUGGGCUCCAGCUGGUCAGAGAGCUGGAGAGAGACGGCUGAGAAACUGAUAAGCGCUUGCUGGGAUGUUUGCGGAACAGAGAAGAAAAUCGCUGUUAUUCAUUAAGAUUUUUAGUUGAGUGCUGCGUGGUAGAAAUAAACUACCAAUGAGAACACGGACACUCAACCAGAUUUUGUUUUUCAGCCAUCCAGAUCCAUAAAAGGAGCAGAAUCUGAUCACCAGUGUUCCCACUGACUUCACCUGGGAGUCUAAAAAGUUUCACUGUCAGCCUCCAAUGUCAGGACACAGAGAUACAGGGAGUCAGCACCUGAGGACAACGCCGGCCGGGGGAGCCCUGCUUUUGCAGACUUGCCGUCGAGAGUGCCACAGACUUGUUUAUCGCCGAAUUCUCUUAUAAAUACCAUAUACCCCCUUAUAAAUACCAUGGGAUGGAUGAAUUUUAUUAAAAAGAUCAUUUUUACCACUGGCAGGGAUUUAGAUUCAUUUCCAUAGGAAGACAGGAUCACAGGUUAAUUUAGAACAAAGUCUUUGCUAAUUGUGUUUAUGCCGA